rnacentral:rRNA from 1 species
AGGAGUGGAGCCUGCGGCUUAAUUUGACUCAACACGGGAAACCUCACCAGGCCCGGACACCGGAAGGAUUGACAGAUUGAGAGCUCUUUCUUGAUUCGGUGGGUGGUGGUGCAUGGCCGUUCUUAGUUGGUGGAGCGAUUUGUCUGGUUAAUUCCGAUAACGAACGAGACUCUAGCCUGCUAACUAGGCGUAUUUCGACAUCCCAAAGGCCCGCCGGCGUUCGGGGUUCUCCGAACUCCGACUCCGCGCGCGGUUUUUACUGUCGGCGUACAAACAAUUCUUCUUAGAGGGACAGGCGGCUUCUAGCCGCACGAGAUUGAGCAAUAACAGGUCUGUGAUGCCCUUAGAUGUUCUGGGCCG